rnacentral:rRNA from 1 species
AGUGAACGCUGGCGGAGUGCCUAAUACAUGCAAGUCGAACGGAGUGGCUCACGGGUGAGUAAUGUAUAGCUAAUCUGCCCUACACUAGAGGACAAAAGUUGGAAACGGCUGCUAAUACUCUAUAGUUUAGGAUGAGGCUAUCUUGUAUCAGCUCGUUGGUGAGGUAAUGGCUCACCAAGGCUAUGACGCAUAACUGGUCUGAGAGGAUGAUCAGUCAAACUGGAGCUGAGACACGGUCCAGACUCCUACGGUAGGCAGCAGUAGGGAAUAUUGCUCAAUGGGGGAAACCCUGAAGCAGCAUCGCCGCGUGGAGGAUGACACUUUUCGGAGCGUAAACUCCUUUUGUUAGGGAAGCGGUACCUAACGAAUAAGCACCGGCUAACUCCGUGCCAGCAGCCGCGGUAAUUC